AGUCGAACGGUCCGCAAGGACAGUGGCAAACGGGUGCGUAACGCGUAAGCAACCUGCCCUCAACUGGGGGAUAGCCCGGCGAAAGCUGGGGUAAACCCGCACGGUCCCAUUAUUUCACCUGGGGUGAUGGGUAAACAUUUAUGGGUUGAGGAGGGGCUUGCGUCUGAUUAGCUAGUUGGCGGGGUAAGGGCCCACCAAGGCGAUGAUCAGUAGGGGUUCUGAGAGGAUUGGCCCCCACAUGGGUACUGAGAUACGGACCCAACUCCUACGGGAGGCAGCAGUAGGGAAUAUUGGGCAAUGGAGGCAACUCUGACCCAGCCAUGCCGCGUGCAGGAUGAAGGCGCUCAGCGUUGUAAACUGCUUUUAUCAGGGAAGAACAGUAGUGGUGCGCCAUUAUGUGACGGUACCUGAGGAAUAAGCACCGGCUAACUCCGUGCCAGCAGCCGCGGUAAUACGGAGGGUGCAAGCGUUGUCCGGAUUUAUUGGGUUUAAAGGGUGCGUAGGUGGAUCUUUAAGUCUGGUUUGAAAGCAGGCGGCUCAACCGUCUGAUGUGGCUGGAAACUGGAGGUCUUGAAUGUGUUGGCGGUAGCCGGAACGGGUCAUGUAGCGGUGAAAUGCAUAGAUAUGACCCAGAACCCCGAUUGCGAAGGCAGGCUACUAGGACAUGAUUGACACUGAGGCACGAGAGCAUGGGGAGCGAACAGGAUUAGAUACCCUGGUAGUCCAUGCCGUAAACGAUGAUUACUGGCUGUCUGCGUGAAGACGUGGGUGGCUGAGCGAAAGCGUUAAGUAAUCCACCUGGGGAGUACGCCCGCAACGGUGAAACUCAAAGGAAUUGAC
rnacentral:rRNA from 1 species